CAGCAGGAGACAGACCUGCCGGGGAAAGAGUCAGAAGCCCCGUAGCUUGGAUAGCGGGAAGGCGGGUAACCAAUAUCCUGAAGCCUAUCGACAAGACUUUCCUUGGUGAAGUGCGAGUCACCGGGCCGUAACGAAA
rnacentral:ncRNA from 1 species